UUUGUUGCAGGCAAUCGUGCUGCUUGCGCAAAGAAACAAGAGAAAAUUCUUGAAGCAUCGGAUAUAUAAACAGAUGUAUAUAAUACCUUGGACUACGAUUCAUACAAAUGCUUGCAAUAUCCAUAAAUAAAGCUGGAAGGAAGUGACCAAUCCAAGUACAAACUUUAUAGGAUAUUUUAUAUCGUAGAGGAAUCAUUAUGGGUAUGUAUAUGGCAUUUCUCAUAGGAUAUGUUUUACUUAUGUCGAUAUACGCGUGAACAUAUUCAUCCCAAGUAGGUCCAUCGAUUGGUGAUACGAAAUUAUAGAUUAACAUAUCUCUGCCUCUCCUUGAAAAUCCAUUAAAAUUUAGUUAAAUUAUGCAUUAUAUUUUUUUAUGUAUCAGUGUUACAAUUACAUUAAUAUUCACAACGUGUUACAAUUAUAGUAAUAUUUUAAUAUUUAAGAUAUUUAAGAUAUUUAAAUACUCAUUUUGAUAUAAUAAUAAAAUUUUAUUGUCAAUUUUAUUUUAUUAUCCCAACAAAAUUACCUUUCUUAAAAACAGGUAUUAAAAAGCGUCAAGUGUACGCGCACAUGAAACGCUCUCAAAAAUCUAUUUUUGUACAGAAUAAUUUUAAUUUGGCACUACAAAUGUACGAAAUUUUAAUAAAAUUAUCUUUGCACGUCAAAAUACAUAAAGAUAGCCUAGUGGAGUAUUCUAUUCAGACAUUUCUUAUUUUCUUGUAUACCUGUGUUAUUAUUCAUUUGAGAAAAAAAUGUAUGAUAUUUGAAACUAUAAUCACAUAAUCAAAAAAAAUUUAGAAUAUUAUUUUUAUAGUGUUUAAAUGUCAAAAA